AGUAACAAAUUUGAAGCUACACGCCGCGUGAGUGAAGAAGGGUUUCGGCUCGUAAAGCUCUGUUGGUAGUGAAGAAAGAUAGAGGAAAAACUGGGCUUUAUUUGACGGUAAUUACUUAUAAAGUCACGGCUAACUACGUGCCAGCAGCCGCGGUAAUACGUAGGUGGCAAGCGUUGUCCGGAUUUAUUGGGCGUAAAGCGAGUGCAGGCGGUUCAAUAAGUCUGAUGUGAAAGCCUUCGGCUCAACCGGAGAAUUGCAUCAGAAACUGUUGAACUUGAGUGCAGAAGAGGAGAGUGGAACUCCAUGUGUAGCGGUGAAAUCAU
rnacentral:rRNA from 1 species